rnacentral:rRNA from 1 species
AACGAGCGCUGGCGGCGUGCCUAACACAUGCAAGUCGAACGAGAAAGGGGCUUCGGCUCCGAGUAAAGUGGCGCACGGGUGAGUAACACGUGGGUAACCUGCCUCUAAGAUUGGGAUAACUCGUCGAAAGAUGAGCUAAUACCGAAUAAGACCACAGUUCCCGCGGGAACAGGGGUCAAAGGUAGCCUCUGCUUGCAAGCUAUCACUUAGAGAUGGGCCUGCGCACCAUUAGCUAGUUGGUAGGGUAACGGCCUACCAAGGCAAAGAUGGUUAGCUGGUCUGAGAGGAUGAUCAGCCACACUGGAACUGAGACACGGUCCAGACUCCUACGGGAGGCAGCAGUGGGGAAUAUUGCGCAAUGGGCGAAAGCUUGACGCAGCAACGCCGCGUGAGUGAUGAAGGCCUUCGGGUCGUAAAGCUCUGUCGGGAGGAACGAAUGCUCCUGAGGUUAACAGCCUCGGGAGGUGACGGUACCUUCAAAGGAAGCACCGGCUAACUCU